AGUAUGGUUGUGCAGUAGCACUUUGGGGCCUGAUUCACACUCACAGUUAUCUCUGAAGCUCAGUGCAGGCCAGUUCAUUUUCUCUCAGGCCCCCAUCAGGACCUCAACCCUGCCAGGAGUAACAACUGAUGCAACCAGUGUGUAUAAGAUUUAUGAAAUUUUGGGAAAAAUCAUAAAGCAAAUACUUGAAGACAGCAGAAAUAAUUAGACACAGACAGAAGCUGAUAAGAAUUUAAUCCCUAAAAGGAUGGAAGCACACGGCUUAAGAAACAACAACCAAAAUGAAGAUUGUAACGGCAGAGUCACUGACACGAUGAUGGAUGAAAUCUGGAAA